rnacentral:lncRNA from 1 species
GUCCUCCUUAAGUUUGACCAUACCUGCAGACGUGGUGUAUUCAUGGAUGUAUUUACUGUGGGUUUCUUUUUGGAGCAUUGCUGCUGCUUUUGACUUGUCGUCUCUGGCGCAUGUAGUGUUAUUCUCUCUCAGCCGUCUUGCUGCUCUUUUCGCUUUCCAGUGGAGUUCACUUUCGCCUUUCCUCUUCUUUUUGUCCUUCUCGGCAUUAAUUGAUUAAUGUCGUCAAUUAAGAGAAUGGCAAGAUGGCUAUGUGUACUGCUACGGCCCGAAUAAAAUACUAACUCAACCAAUGGAAUGGAAAAAGAUGGCUGUUACAAUAGAACCGAUCUUAAAGGAGUGUGACCCACCACAAGCAGAAAGAAUUAGAUGGGAAUUAACAAUUAAUGCCGAGAAGGAUGGGGGGAAGAGGAAGGGUGAGGGUGAGUUCUACUGGAAAGUGAGGGGAGCGGCGGGAUGGCUGAGAGAGAGUGGUAUUGUUUGCGCCAGGGACGAUGGGUC